rnacentral:rRNA from 1 species
CAAUAGCGUAUAUUUAAGUUGUUGCAGUUAAAAAGCUCGUAGUUGGAUUUCGGGUGGGACGCAGCGGUCUCGCAUUGCGUUUGUACUGCUGCAGCCCUCCUUCUUGCCGGGGGCGGCCUCUCGGACUUCACUGUCUGGGGGUCAGAAUCGGCGAUGUUACUUUGAGUAAAUUAGAGUGUUCAAAGCAAGCUUACGCUCUGAAUAUAAUAGCAUGGGAUAACACGACAGGACUCUGGCCUAUCGUGUUGGUCUAUAGGACCAGAGUAAUGAUUAAGAGGGACAGUCGGGGGCAUUCGUAUUCCGUUGUCAGAGGUGAAAUGCUUGGAUUUACGGAAGACGAACAUCUGCGAAAGCAUUUGCCAAGGAUGUUUUCAUUGA